CGGUGAUUGGCGCAGCCUGGUAGCGCACUUCGUUCGGGAGGAAGGGGUCGGAGGUUCGAAUCCUCUAUCACCGACCA
rnacentral:tRNA from 2 species